CCUGCAUAACGUGGUCCUGACCUUCGACUGUUAAAUGAAGAUUACACUAAUGCUCCUGUUUUUUUAUAAUUUAACUCAUGUGAGUUAGUACUUAAAAAGGGACCAAAACAGAAACAUUGUUUCUUUGCGGUAGCUAACACUACACUAAGCAACCGUUUAGUAAUGUAAUGUCAGACAUCAGAUAUCAACUAAAUCAAUGAGGAAACAAUCUCAUAUCGCUGGAUUCGAAAGUGAUAGAGUCAGCUGCACCCAGCUAUUAUACUGCAGGAGAUCUGCCAGGAAGUCUAAAUGGAGAUGGAGCAGAGUGAAGUAGAGGCAGUCGUGCUGCUGUGGACAGUGUGUUGCUCACCAGAGCCUCCAGAGACCCGACUGGACUCCUCUGCAGGUAUGACAGGGGGGUCAUUUGCUUCUCGGAACUUGGUGGGAUCCCAGAGUCAAGCUUUGUAGAGAGGGGGCCAUUCAGAGUUCAGUUUCCGAUACACGCUUCAAAGGCGUCAGCUGCAUGUUUGAUGUGCCCUCUUAAGUGAAGUAAUGGAGGAAUUGUGGCAAGCAGGAAAUAAUGGAGGUGAAUCCACUGUCAUUACAUGCUUCAUUUCUUUAAACAUGCUAAUCCCUCUGAAGCUACACAUUUACGCUGCCAUUUGUAGGACGCAUCAAUAUUUAUCACCAUACUAAUGCACACAGUUUCAGCCGAGAAUGGUCAAUGCAUAUGUAUAUAGCUUCGCACUAAUGUAGUGUUUUUACCACCCUAAUGUUGACAGAACGGUACUCCUGCAUUAAUUCUAAAGGCACGGGUUAAUUUAUGUAGCGCAUUCUUCUUCCAGAAGUGAUUGUUUUGCACUCUGUUUUGAUUUGCCGCAUUAUGUAUUUUAUAAAAAUGACAUUGAAUGCUGAAGGUAGCGUGGCUUCAGCGGCUGUGUACUGCUGUGCUCAUCAUGUAAAUGCCAAAUUCUGAUGGACUAAUAUUAGUAAAGCAGAAUGUACACUAAAGCCUGGGGAUUAAGAUCAAGAUUAAAUUAAAUAGAAGUCAUUAGAUCAUAAACAGUUGUUUUGUCCUGAAAAC
rnacentral:lncRNA from 1 species